UUAAACAUUUUAUGACAUAAAAAUAAUCAUAAAGAUUUUAUGACAUAAUACAAAAUGUCAUAAAACACUUCCUGGUAGCAACCACUGAUGUUUGACUAUGUUAUACAGUUCAACAUGGGCUAUAUUCCAGUGAAGGCAGGACAUUAUAAGUUCUGUGGUGGUUAAAGAUAUUGAAGAAUCUGGAUUUGCCAGGAUUUUGUAAUUUACAGCCAUAAUAAAGGCAAAAUGGACUUUGAAGAAACAAACUGGACUUCGAAAAAGCAGGAUAGGAAGAGUACUGACAUUUCUAAACUUUCUUGAGGAUGCUUUGGAUAGCCAAGAAAACAACCUGAUAUAUCAUCAAAAACAAAGCAAUCCAGAGGCACAAAUGAUGUGGUUUAAAUUAUUCUAUUGUGAACACGUUAUGCAAGGACUUAACUUGGAGAAGGCUCUAAUACUGUACUCGGAAAGCUGGAAGAAAAGAGAAGACAAUCAGCAGCAAUGUGGAUGGACUCAGUUAUAGGAGUUAUGAAUGCACCAUUGAAAAGACCAGAACCUCCAGAUCCUCAACCUUCUUGAUUUGGUGGCUUCCAUUUUGUCUGUGUGGCCUUCUAAUAAGAGGCACAUCUGUUUUGAAAGAACAAAGGAAUGAAGAAGAGCAAGGAGGAGGAAGUUGACUGAUUGAUUUUGUCUGGAGAUAUUCAUGGAUAAUUGAAUUGUCUCCAGGCUCUAGAGUUAACACAAUUGUGCAUUGUGCUAUAAACCAGCUUCCCAGUACAGAUACCAAGUCAAUGGGAAAAAUAGCCGGCUGUGAAAUAUACCUCUUUUUUGUUCUCCAUUGUUUAUGGCAGCAGAAAUAUUUCAAAUAUUAUAGUGUU